UACGGGGGGAGCAAGCGUUGUUCGGAUUUACUGGGCGUAAAGGGCGCGUAGGCGGCCACCGCAAGUCAGUUGUGAAAUCUCUGGGCUUAACCCAGAAAGGUCAACUGAUACUGCGGGGCUAGAGUGCAGAAGGGGCAACUGGAAUUCUCGGUGUAGCGGUGAAAUGCGUAGAUAUCGAGAGGAACACCAGUGGCGAAGGCGAGUCCCUGGACAACUCCUGACACUGAGGCACGAAAGCUAGGGGAGCAAACAGG
rnacentral:rRNA from 1 species